rnacentral:rRNA from 1 species
AGAGUUUGAUCAUGGCUCAGAAUGAACGUUGGCGGCGUGGAUUAGGCAUGCAAGUCGAGCGAGAACCCGCAAGGGGGACAGCGGCAAACGGGGUAGUAAUGCGUUGGAACAAACCCUCAGGUCGGGGAUAGCUACGGGAAACUGUAGGUAAUACCCGAUGACCUCUUGGUAACGAGAGCAAAGGUUUACUGCCUGGGGACUGGCUAACGUGGUAUUAGGUAGUUGGUGGGGUAAUGGCCCACCAAGCCAACGAUGCCUAGGGGGUGUGAGAGCAUGGCCCCCACCACUGGUACUGAGACACUGACCAGACACCUACGGGUGGCUGCAGUCGAGAAUCUUCGGCAAUGGGCGCAAGCCUGACCGAGCGACGCCGCGUGCGGGAUGAAGGCCCUUGGGUUGUAAACCGCUGUCAGGGGGGAUGAAAGCGUAAGCUUGACAGAGCCCCAGAGGAAGCACGGGCUAAGUUCGUGCCAGCCGCCGCGGUAAUAC